GGUCCCGUAGUUUAAUGGAUAGAGCGCGGCCCUCCGAAGGCUGAAAUGGAGGUUCGAUUCCUCUCGGGGCCACCA
rnacentral:tRNA from 1 species